AUUGAACGCUGGCGGCGUGGCUAAGACAUGCAAGUCGAACGGGGUGCGUAGCAAUACGCAUCCAGUGGCGGACGGGUGAGUAAUGAAUCGCUAACGUACCCUCCCGUCUGGGAUAGCCGAGGGAAACUUCGGGUAAUACCAGAUGAAAUCCCCUUUUCGCAUGACGAGGGGCUCAAAGGAGCAAUCCGCGGGUGGCGCGGGCGAUUUCGUAUCAGCUAGUUGGUGGGGUAACCGGCCCACCAAGGCGACGACGCGUAGCCGGACUGAGAGGUUGGCCGGCCACAUUGGGACUGAGACACUGCCCAGACUCCGUACGGGGGCGUGCAGUAACGAAUCUUCCGCAAUNCACGCAAGUGUGACGGAGCGACGCCGCGUGUGGGAC
rnacentral:rRNA from 1 species